rnacentral:lncRNA from 1 species
CAGACCCGGCACCAGGUGAUCAGUUUACACCUGCACCACCCUUAGUCCCCAUUUUUUAUCCACCACCGCAGCAAGAUUUGCCACCAGCAGAUGAGUUUACACCUGCACCACCACUAGUUCCCAUAUUUGAUCCACCACCACAACAAGAUUUGCCUCCUGCAGAUGAGUUUACACCGACACCAUUUCUACCACCAGUGGUAUCAUCACCACCACCAGUUCAAGAUUUGCCACCAUUGUUUCCCAUUAAUCUUUCUCCACCACCUGAUGAUCAGCCUCCCCAGUUUCCAUUCUUA